GAAGACACCUCGAAACUUGGCGUCAGAGAUUUUAGAAUUAGCGCAGAAAAUUGAGGCACUUGGAACCGUAUUAUACAUUACUCUACUGGAACAAAUGUUCUGUCAUAUCCAUCUAAAGGCCAAGUCACUGAACGGCCGCCUCAUCCCCCAAACUGGUCGUGUUUGCUGACACUAGAAAUAUGGUGAUGCCACCUGAUAAAUAUUUUUAUUUACACCUUUAAAACGAAUGUGGUGAAAAAUAUCAAAUAACAUGUGGAACGACACCUGCCCCCGAAACUGAGGGUCCGUACCUAUGGCACUAUGGCUAAUCAUGAAUGGAGAUUGAAAGAAACAUAAUAGCGAGUCGUCAAAACCAGCAGAAAUGGUUAACAUCACCAAGAAGACGGAAACGAAUAGGCUACGUCGGACAACCCAAGGUGCUUUGGUUUGCAAUAUUCGAACAACGCAGAAAUCGUUUGGCUAUGAAUCGGAUAAAUAAAAACGGUGGAUGUUGGAUUUUUCCUGAAAAUAUAUAAAACAAAAACAAGUGAAAAGGCAUUUAGUUCAGCCUGGCCAAACUUUGGAUACCCACCAGCUCGGGCAUAUAUAAAAACCCCCUUUCGGCGCAAUCCGGAGAAAAUUGGAUAACUUAGGCACCCAAAUUCGACACGGAUAUUG
rnacentral:sRNA from 1 species